rnacentral:rRNA from 1 species
GACGAACGCUGGCGGCGCUUCUAACACAUGCAAGUCGAACGAGCGAGAGAGAGCUUGCUUUCUCGAGCGAGUGGCGAACGGGUGAGUAACGCGUGAGGAACCUGCCUCAAAGAGGGGGACAACAGUUGGAAACGACUGCUAAUACCGCAUAAGCCCACAGCUCGGCAUCGAGCAGAGGGAAAAGGAGCGAUCCGCUUUGAGAUGGCCUCGCGUCCGAUUAGCUAGUUGGUGAGGUAACGGCCCACCAAGGCGACGAUCGGUAGCCGGACUGAGAGGUUGAGCGGCCACAUUGGGACUGAGACACGGCCCAGACUCCUACGGGAGGCAGCAGUGGGGAAUAUUGCACAAUGGGGGAAACCCUGAUGCAGCGACGCCGCGUGGAGGAAGAAGGUCUUCGGAUUGUAAACUCCUGUUGUUGAGGAAGAUAAUGACGGUACUCAACAAGGAAGUGACGGCUAACUACGUGCCAGCAGCCGCGGUAAAACGUAGGUCACAAGCGUUGUCCGGAAUUACUGGGUGUAAAGGGAGCGCAGGCGGGAAAGCAAGUUGGAAGUGAAAUCCACGGGCUCAACCCAUGAACUGCUUUCAAAACUGUUUUUCUUGAGUAGUGCAGAGGUAGGCGGAAUUCCCGGUGUAGCGGUGGAAUGCGUAGAUAUCGGGAGGAACACCAGUGGCGAAGGCGGCCUACUGGGCACCAACUGACGCUGAGGCUCGAAAGUGUGGGUAGCAAACAGG